AUUUUUUGGGAGGGGGUUUGACUAUCAUUGUGAAGACAUUCUCUGCUUAGAAUAUAAUACUAAAUAUUUCCAUUAGAUCAAGCUACUGUGUUAAAAAAAAAACAAGGAUCAAGGCUAUUUGAGUAACUGCUUAAUAUUUUUAUUUCUGAAUGUUGUGUUAAAGUGCCCCACUAUAAUCCCUAGUCAAUUUCUCCUUAUACAUUAACAGGCUUUGCUUGAUAUGUUUUGAAUCUAUGUUGUUAAAUGAAAAAGGGCUCUUGACUAGUUUAUCUUCUGGUUAUAGCCUGCCUGCCUUUUUUCCUUCCUUCCUUCCUUUGUAGAACUGGGCGCUAGGAAAUUAAAUUCUCUUUCUGUGACAGCCUUGUCUUUGAGUCCUAGGUCAAUAGAAAAUUACAGCAAGAUAAAGCAGCACCUGCAAAAAUGAAAGUAGGACACCGAGACCCCAGAAAGUAGAGAGCUCAAAAACCACAUCCUGGCUGAGCUGUGGCAAGCGUUCUGCUGAAAGCAUCCCUAGAGUCUGCAGAACAUCCUGCUCCUCACAGCACCCACUGACCCCUCCCGAUCCUUAUAAACCCAUAAAACCCCUUUUCCCUGAGAACUCAGGACUCACACAUCUCUUGGAGUCUGG
rnacentral:lncRNA from 1 species